AUUGAACGCUGGCGGCAGGCCUAACACAUGCAAGUCGAACGCAGUGGGGACAGGUGAGUAACACGUGGGUAACCUCCCAUCAGAGGGGGUAACACUUGGAAACAGGUGCUAAACCGAUACUGAUGGAUGGACCAGCGGUGAAUUAGCUAGUUGGUGUGGUAACGGCUCACCAAGGCCACGAGGCAUAGCCGGACUGAGAGGGUGAUCGGCCACACUGGAACUGAGACACGGCCCAGACUCCUACGGGAGGCAGCAGUAGGGAAUCUUCGGCAAUGGGCGAAAGUCUGACCGAGCAAGGCCGCGUGAGUGAAGAAGGUUUUCUGGUCGUAAAAUGCUGUUGUUAGGGAGGCGGUAUCUAACGAGAAAGCAACGGCGAACUACGUGCCAGCAGCCGCGGUAAUAC
rnacentral:rRNA from 1 species